rnacentral:rRNA from 1 species
UUUAACGGGAAAAACUUUACAGGCUCUUGCCAUCCAGAGAACUUUCCAGAGAUGGAUUGGUGCUUUGGGGAAUUUUGAGCCGGGUGUGCCAUGGCGUUGUUCAGUUGGUGUUGUGAAAUGUGGGGUUAAUUCCGGCACGGAGCCCACCCUUUAUCUUAGGUUCCCACCGGUUAGGCCGGGCACUCAAAGGAGACUGCCAGUGAUAAACCGGAGGAAGGUGGGGAUGACGUCAAGUCAUCAUGGCCCUUACGACUAGGGCUACACACGUGCUACAAUGGUGCAUACAAAGAGAAGCCACCUCGCGAGAGCAAGCUGACCUCAUAAAGUGGGUCGUAGUCCGGAUCGCAGUCUGCAACUCGACUCCAUGAAGUCGGAAUCGCUAGUAAUCGUGGAUCAGAAUGCUGCGGGAAUACGACGA